rnacentral:rRNA from 1 species
AGCGGGGGGAGCUAGCGUUGUUCAUCAUGAUUGGGCGUAAAGGGCGCGUAGACGGUUCUUUAAGUCAGGGGUGAAAUCCUGGAGCUCAACUCCAGAACUGCCUUUGAUACUGAGGAUCUUGAGUUCGGGAGAGGUGAGUGGAACUGCGAGUGUAGAGGUGAAAUUCGUAGAUAUUCGCAAGAACACCAGUGGCGAAGGCGGCUCACUGGCCCGAUACUGACGCUGAGGCACGAAAGCGUGGGGAGCAAACAGG